rnacentral:rRNA from 1 species
UACGUAGGGUGCAAGCGUUGUCCGGAAUUAUUUGGGCGUAAAGAGCUCGUAGGCGGUUUGUCGCGUCUGCUGUGAAAACCCGAGGCUCAACCUCGGGCCUGCAGUGGGUACGGGCAGACUAGAGUGCGGUAGGGGAGAUUGGAAUUCCUGGUGUAGCGGUGGAAUGCGCAGAUAUCAGGAGGAACACCGAUGGCGAAGGCAGAUCUCUGGGCCGUAACUGACGCUGAGGAGCGAAAGCAUGGGGAGCGAACAGG